AGCGAACGCUGGCGGCGUGCCUAACACAUGCAAGUCGAGCGAGAAAGGGAGCUUCGGCUCCUCAGUACAGCGGCGAACGGGUGCGUAACACGUUGGUGAUCUGUCCUUGAGAUGGGGAUAACCCAGCGAAAGUUGGGCUAAUACCGGAUAAGACCACAGGAGGAAACUCCAGGGGUCAAAGGGUGCUUCCUGCGGGGAGCAUUCUCUUGAGGAGGAGCCCGCGGCCUCUCAGCUUGUUGGUAGGGUAACGGCCUACCAAGGCGAAGACGGGUAGCUGGUCUGAGAGGAUGACCAGCCACACGGGGACUGAGACACGGCCCCGACUCCGACGGGAGGCAGCAGUGGGGAAUAUUGGGCAAUGGGGGAAACCCUGACCCAGCGACGCCGCGUGGGUGAUGAAGGCCUUCGGGUCGUAAAGCCCUGUCGGGAGGAACGAAUGCUCUCAGGGCAAAUAGCCCUGAGAAGUGACGGUACCUCCGAAGGAAGCACCGGCCAACUCCGUGCCAGCCGCCGCCGUAACAC
rnacentral:rRNA from 1 species